rnacentral:lncRNA from 1 species
GAUUUUGCUUCUGAAGGAAUCAGCAAGACAAAAUAAUGUGUUUCUUCAUGAAAGCAGAAAACAGUGAAUUUUCAUCAUUAAAAAUACCUCUACAAUCUACUUUUCCUUUUAGGGAAUUCUCAGAAAUUCUCUCAUCUGUUCAAGAUAUGCUUUCUCUUAACAGCCUUACUGAAAAAGAAAAAGCAGGACUUUGGUGA